GAUGAACGCUGGCGGUAUGCUUAACACAUGCAAGUCGAACGGUCACUUCGGUGAUAGUGGCGGACGGGUGAGUAACGCGUGAGAAUCUGUCUUCAGGUCGGGGACAACAGUUAGAAAUGACUGCUAAUACCGGAUGUGCCUUUGGGUGAAAGAUUUAUUGCCUGAAAAAGAGCUCGCGUCAGAUUAGCUAGUAUGUGGUGUAAGAGACUACCUAGGCUCCGAUCUGUAGCUGGUCUGAGAGGACGAUCAGCCACACUGGAACUGAGACACGGUCCAGACUCCUACGGGAGGCAGCAGUGGGGAAUUUUCCGCAAUGGGCGAAAGCCUGACGGAGCAAUACCGCGUGAGGGACGAAGGCUUUUGGGUCGUAAACCUCUUUUCUCAAGGAAGAUGAUGACGGUACUUGAGGAAUAAGCAUCGGCUAACUCUGUG
rnacentral:rRNA from 1 species